CAGGAGAGCCUGGAGUUGUUAUGAAUUAAGAAACCACGAUUAAUGCUAUUUCACUGUAAAUUCAAUGUAUGAUAACACAAUGUCAAUAAAUUAACCAACUGACAACUGAAAUUGAGUUAACAAACCUGUGAUUGGAUGUUGAAUAUGGAUCGGUUUUUUACGAUAUGUCUUGUAUUAGCAGGGCUUCAGAUCGUUUCAUCAAAUCUUAGCAAGUACACACGUUUGGAAGGCGACAAUUUGAUCGUUCGCUGUAAUACCACGGCUCAGGCGCACAUCGCAGUGUACUGGGCCAAAAACGACUCGAGGCAUCCCUACAGGCAGAAUGGAACCGACCUCCUGAUUUUCAACAUCGACCGGACGUAUUCCGGCCAAUACGUCUGCUACGCCUUGAAUAUGACGGACGCUCCGUACUUCAACACAACAGGAGCAAACGUCACAAUUGACGUCAUCACAGUGGACGUAGAAUACCCGGCUGAAAUAGACGGAUUCUCCCUCGGCCCUACCACUGUCAUGGAAAACGCCACGUUCAGCAUUGAGUGCAACUUCCAAGCCCAUCCCGACCCCACGUGGUCUAUCAUGAACCUAAACACGGGAAAGUCGAUGCUCUUUGCAAACGGGUCUGCUGAUGUCACAAUGCAGUCGCCAGGCGCUAGCUUCGAUGACAUUGGAUUGUGGGUAUGCACCGGCUACAACCGGUUAAGUAACGAAAAGAACGUAACGCGAGGGGCAAAUUUAACCGUGUUGUGUCCUCCAAGGCCGAUAUGGGGACAGAGAUUCAGUUUCGAGGGAUCUAUUGGACAACCGGCCAAACUGACCUUGAACUUUACAUCCUUACCACGUCCAAGAACGAUAUGGUCAAGAUCGGACGGUCAACCGUUUAGGACUGGAAUCAGCAUCACCGACUGGCCGAACAGGACGGAACUGGAGUGGGACCGCUGGAAUACGGUCAAAGUCAGUGACUUUGGGAACUACACCAUAACGUUACAGAAUGAGUAUGGGACGUAUACGGCAACGAUGCAACUUACUGCAAAUGGUUUCCCGGAAACCCCUCGUGAUGUUUAUAUCUACAACGUCACAGACCAAAGCGCCACCGUCCAAUGAACGUCAGGUUUCGACAUGGGUUCUCCGCAACACUUUAUUGUCAUGAGACUAUACAAUGGAAAUACCUUUUCUUUGCUGACCAGUUAUAUCUACGACAACUCGACGACACAUGGGAUAAACCAAACCUGGACCCACGUGGUUGACGGGCUGAAAGAGAACACGUUCUACAACAUAUCUGUGGUCGCGGAAAAUGAACGAGGAUUCCAGGGAUUUUCACAGCCGAUAACAUUUACCACGCAAGCUUCUCCCAAGAACUUUGACACUUUGCAUCCCGUUUCACCGGGCGUUGUCGUAGGUGUUGUACUGGGGUCGGUCAUCGUGGUCGUUGGUAUUUCUGCGGCCUAGGUGUUCCUUCUCAAAUGGCGACGAAUGCGUACCUCAUGCGAGAAAGCAUGAGCAGAUCUACAUUUGAAUCAAUACGGGUGAAGUGAAACUUUAUUUAUGGAUAAAAUGUUAUUUUGUGUAAACAUUACAUAGAUAUUAAAUGUGUGUACUAUGAAUAAAAUCUAUUUAAAUGGUA